rnacentral:rRNA from 1 species
GAUGAACGCUGGCGGCGUGCCUAAUACAUGCAAGUCGAGCGAACAGAUGAGGAGCUUGCUCCUCUGACGUUAGCGGCGGACGGGUGAGUAACACGUGGAUAACCUACCUAUAAGACUGGGAUAACUUCGGGAAACCGGAGCUAAUACCGGAUAAUAUAUUGAACCGCAUGGUUCAAUAGUGAAAGACGGUUUUGCUGUCACUUAUAGAUGGAUCCGCGCCGCAUUAGCUAGUUGGUAAGGUAACGGCUUACCAAGGCAACGAUGCGUAGCCGAACUGAGAGGGGGAUCGGCCACAUUGGAACUGAGACACGGUCCAGACUCCUAAGGGAGGCAGCAGUAGGGAACGGUCCGCAAUGGGCGAAAGCAUGACGGAGCAACGCGGCGUGAGUGAUGAAGGUCUUCGGAUCGUAAAACUCUGUUACGAGGGAAGAACAAAUGUGUAAGUAACUAUGCACGGCUUGACGGUACCUAAUCAGAAAGCCACGGCUAACUACGUG